UACAGAGGGUGCGAGCGUUAAUCGGAAUUAUUGGGCGUAAAGGGCGCGUAGGCGGUUAUUUAAGUGAGAUGUGAAAUCCCUGGGCUUAACCUAGGAAUGGCAUCUGAGACUGGAUAGCUGGAGUGCGGUAGAGGGUAGUGGAAUUUCCGGUGUAGCGGUGAAAUGCGUAGAUAUCGGAAGGAACACCAGUGGCGAAGGCGGCUACCUGGACUGACACUGACGCUGAGGCGCGAAAGCGUGGGGAGCGAACAGG
rnacentral:rRNA from 1 species